rnacentral:rRNA from 1 species
CCUACGGGAGGCAGCAGUCGGGAAUAUUGCGCAAUGGAGGAAACUCUGACGCAGUGACGCCGCGUGCAGGAAGAAGGUUUUCGGACUGUAAACUGCUUUAGACAGGGAAGAAACAAGACAGUACCUGUAGAAUAAGCUCCGGCUAACUACGUGCCAGCAGCCGCGGUAAUACGUAGGGAGCAAGCGUUAUCCGGAUUUAUUGGGUUUAAAGGGUGCGUAGGCGGGCUGUUAAGUCAGCGGUAAAAGCCCGGGGCUCAACCCCGGCGAGCCGUUGAAACUGGCUGUCUUGAGAUGUCGAGAGGUAU